rnacentral:rRNA from 1 species
UACGUAGGGGGCAAGCGUUGUCCGGAAUCAUUGGGCGUAAAGCGCACGUAGGCGGCCCUGUAAGUCCGUUGUGAAAGUCAAAGGCUCAACCUUUGAAUGCCGAUGGAUACUGCAGGGCUAGAGUCCGGAAGAGGCGAGUGGAAUUCCUGGUGUAGCGGUGGAAUGCGCAGAUAUCAGGAGGAACACCAAUGGCGAAGGCAGAUCUCUGGGCCGUAACUGACGCUGAGGAGCGAAAGCAUGGGGAGCGAACAGG